CUUUUGACCCGGCUUCUCAGGAAGCCCCGCCUCUGCAGGCUCGCCCGGGUUCUUCGUUUUGUUUGUGUGGGAAAAACACCCCCACCGGCAGCUCGUCAGUUACGGGAACCCCGAUGCGUCACGCUUUCCCUCCAGAGCCCAGAAAAGCCAAGCUUCCUUCGCAAGUGGCCGGUUUCCUGCCGGGCAGUUUGGAGACGCUGAGUAACCCGUGUCUGCCCGGCCAGGCCGCCGCACGGCUGGACCUGCCCCCCACUUCCAGGUCCUGCGAGACCCACAGCCACGGCCUCAUCCAUCCCUGCCAGGGCCGGACUCGGGUGGAAGAACACCCUGCAACCCCCGGAACCGACCGCCCGGCCCAGGGACCGGGGGGCUCAGGGCCGCCGACCACCCACCCCCACCUGCCUGCCCUCCUGCCCCCAGUCCACGGGCUGGCCCGGCUCCAACAAACAGAGCGGGCGGAAGCCACGCCAGGGGGGCGCGCCGGGGGCAAGGCCGCAGCCGGGCUCCGUCCACAAACACUGCUGGAGGCUGGCGCUCCGCCUGGGCUAUUCACAGCACAGAGGAGUAAACAAGCGGGACGGGCUGGGAACGGAGCACGCGGGGGUGGGGGGAGGACCAGGAAAGAGCGAGCGCCUUCGGGAAAGCCACGACGGGGCUGGGCGGGCCGGGCGCCUCCUCCCCGGUCGGAGGUCUGCGUCUCCAUUCGCCUCCCCCAGGGCUGGGCACGGGGCACCCCCAGGGAACAAGGGGGUAUGGCAGGCCUGGUGGACGGUUGCCCCGAGCUCUGCCUGGAAGGCAGGAGCGGCCUGGCGGUCAGGGAUGGACGGCCUGACGGACACACUCAGAGCAUCCUCUUGUCCACCCCCGCCCGGGCGGCGGCAGAACCAAUACACGGCAGGCGGCUCCCUCCUCACCCGCCUCCUUGGAGGCUGUGGUUUCCUCCGGGAAGCGGUCAGUGCCCAGGACGGGCCAGUGGGCCCUCCCCGGCCCUCCAGACCAAGCCCCAUGUAUCUCAUGCUGUGACGUGCUCCCGGGAGUGGUCCCCUGAGAGGGGACCAGAGACACCCCCACCGCCCGAGGGGACGAUGCCCUCCAGCCUCUGUCUCACUAGUGCGUUCCUGGAGCUCUGAUCUCUGCAUCUUUAACUCCUUCCUGCCCUCCCCUGGCCCCAACCCACCCAAGGCCCAGAGGACAGCUCUGAUCAAAAAGACAAGAGAGGGGACCUCCCGGGGGCGGUCCCGUGGUUGAGAAUCUGCCAGGGGAGGCAGGGGAUGCGGGUUCGAGCCCUGGGGUUCGGGGAACUAAGCCUUCAAGGCAAACCUAGGGAGUCCACGUGCGGCGACGGAAGAACCCGCAUGACGGUGGCGGGGACCCCGAGUGCCACAGCGAGGACCCGAUGCACCCCAACAAAUAGGAAACAAACAGUACCAGGGGCUUGUCGAGGACGCUGAGAAACAGGGCCCCUCAGGCACCUCCAUGGGGACGUGAACUACUGCAGCCUCUCGGGAAGAGCAGGCCAGCAGCUCGCAGAGCCAACCGUGGCUGCCUGACCCAGCGAUUCCCGCCAUGGCUCUCCACACGGGAAGGAGGGAAGCAUCUGUGAACACGCCGACCGUGACAGGUUCACGUGGCACGAACUGGAAGCAACCCAGGUGUCCACCCACCAGAGAACAGACAGAUAAGCAAAACGUGGUGUGUGCACACACGGGUGAGACACGGUCCAGCCAAAAAAGGGAAUGCGGUGAACGCACGGUGACGCGGGUGACCCUCAGAAACGCUUUGCCAAGUGGGGGAAGCCAGUCACGGAAGCCGCGUCACAGAGCACGAGGCUGUUUACACGAAACACGCAGGGUGAGCAACUGUUGAGUCAACACGUUGUGACUGACUCUCUGCGACCCCAUGGACUGUAUCCUGCCAGGCUCCUCUGUCCAUGGGAUUCUCCAGAAAGGAGUACUGGAGUGGGUUGCCAUGCCCUUCUCCAGGGGAUCGUCCCAACCCAGGGAUCUAACCUGCAUCUCCUGCCCUGCAGCGCUGUAACACCUGCAGGAUCUCGGGACCCCAACCCAGGAUGGAACCGGUGCCCCCCUCGUCCCCUGCAGUAGAAGUGCCAGAUCCUGAUCUCUGGACCGCCGGGAAAAGUUCUUGGUUUUCUUUCUAAAACAAGACACCAAACCAGUGCCGUCAAGACAGCUUCACGUCACAAGAGUGCAGCUAGAAGCCUGCACCUGUCAUGACAUGCGCUCCUCUGCUCACGGACAGUAGCUCGGCGCCGGGAGAGAAGUGGUGUAGGGGCGCAGAGCGGGGCUCGGUCCAUCAGCGUAUUAAUGAAGUUCUCCAGGCAAGAGUACUGGAGUGGGUUGCCCUUCCCUUCUCCAGUGGAUCUUUCCCGACCCAGGGAUCGAACCUGAGUCUCCUGCAUUGCUGGUAGAUUCUUUACUGUCUGAGCCCCCCGGGAAGCCCUACUAAUAAAGUUACUAUACGGUAAAAGAAAACGUGUAGUUGAAUAGGUAUCCAGGCUUAUUCAAACCUAGUUAUAGUUAUAACUUACCCAACAGAAAUUGUGUUGCUUACUUUAAAAAACGGCUCUACUGAGGUGUGAAUGAUUGUACCUUCACGUUCACCCACUGAGUGUCCAGCUGGGUGCUCCUGGGUGAGCUUAGAGUCCUGCAGGCAUCACCGCCAUUCGAUUUUAGUGCAUUUCCGUCACUUCUAAAAAGAUCUCUUUGGCCCAUUUUUCCCAUUCAAGCACAAAUCUGUAAAUCUGCUUUUUCCGUCUAUCCAAGUCUUUUGCUCAUUUUUAAAAGACUGUGCUGUCUCAGGCAUGGCACUGUAAGCCUUCUUGAUAGAUUCUGGACACGAAGCCCUGAUCAUAUCCACCCGGCCUGGAAACAGCUUCUCUUCUGGGGCUCAUCAGGGACUUCUUGUUUGGUUUUGUAGGGACAGUGGCAUGGUCAGCAGAAGGUGGCUGCCCCGCGUCCUCCUCCAAGGGGCCCUAAGAGCUUGGGGGUCGGGCUGACGGGGGAGUGCGUGCUGAGCCUACACCGAAACGCAACCAACCCUCACCACUCCAGAGUGGCCGGACAGGUGCCCCCAAGGGGAAGGAUUAAAAGGGUAUCCCUUCCGCACAUCAGAGCAGCAAAACCUCCCCGGCACAGGGUCGGGGUGCCAGCCCUCGGCCUCCUGGAGACCUAGGCCGCAUUUUGUUCUUCUUGUUCAAGUUGCUCAGUCGUGUCCGACUCUUUGCGACCUCAUGAAUCGCAGCACACCAGGCCUCCCUGUCCAUCACCAACUCCCGGAGUUUACUCAAACUCAUGUCCAUUGAGUCGGUGAUGCCAUCCAACCAUCUCAUCCUCUGUCGUCCCCUUCUCCUCCUGCCUUCAAUCUUUCCCAGCAUCAGGAUCUUUGCCAAUGAGUCGGUUCUUCGCAUCAGGUGGCCAAAGUAUUGGAGUUUUAGCUUCAGCAUCAGUCCUUCUGAUGAAUAUUCAGGACUAAUUUCCUUGUCUGUAGCAAAACCUGACCUCUACAAUUGCAAGACCUGCCUGCAGGGGGCAGCUCCCAGCUCCCAGAGUCUGAAGAGCCAGAUGCCGGCAAGGGCAAGAUCCACCCCAGAAAGCAACCCCACACCCAGUGGGCAAUAGCGAGCACCACACCUCCGGGCGGUCAGCCGCCUCCCUGGUCCCCGCACCCUCCGGCUCAGGGUCCGGCCACCUUACUCCCCACACCAGCC